rnacentral:rRNA from 1 species
UUACUUAAGCANGAUGUGAAAUCCCCGGGCUCAACCUGGGAACUGCGUUNUGAACUGGGUGACUAGAGUGUGUCAGAGGGAGGUAGAAUUCCACGUGUAGCAGUGAAAUGCGUAGAGAUGUGGAGGAAUACCGAUGGCGAAGGCAGCCUCCUGGGAUAACACUGACGUUCAUGCCCGAAAGCGUGGGUAGCAAACAGGAUUAGAUACCCUGGUAGUCCACGCCCUAAACGAUGUCGAUUAGCUGUUGGGCAGCAUGACUGCUUAGUAGCGAAGCUAACGCGUGAAAUCGACCGCCUGGGGAGUACGGUCGCAAGAUUAAAACUCAAAGGAAUUGACGGGGACCCGCACAAGCGGUGGAUGAUGUGGAUUAAUUCGAUGCAACGCGAAGAACCUUACCUGGUCUUGACAUGUACGGAACCCUCCAGAGACGGAGGGGUGCCUUCGGGAGCCGUAACACAGGUGCUGCAUGGCUGUCGUCAGCUCGUGUCGUGAGAUGUUGGGUUAAGUCCCGCAACGAGCGCAACCCUUGUCAUUAGUUGCCAUCAUUAAGUUGGGCACUCUAAUGAGACUGCCGGUGACAAGCCGGAGGAAGGUGGGGAUGACGUCAAGUCCUCAUGGCCCUUAUGACCAGGGCUUCACACGUCAUACAAUGGUCGGUACAGAGGGUAGCCAAGCCGCGAGGCGGAGCCAAUCUCACAAAACCGAUCGUAGUCCGGAUUGCACUCUGCAACUCGAGUGCAUGAAGUCGGAAUCGCUAGUAAUCGCAGGUCAGCAUACUGCGGUGAAUACGUUCCCGGGUCUUGUACACGCCGCCCGUCACACCAUGGGAGUGGGGGAUACCAGAAGUA